GCGGCGCGCAUAAACAUGCAAGUCGAGCGAGGGCUCUUCUCCCGCAAGGGAGGGGAGUUCCUAGCGGCGAACGGGUGAGUAACACGUGGGCAACCUUUCCUAUCGCGGGGGAUAACAGCGGGAAACCGCUGCUAAUACCGCAUGUCGUCACCGGUCGCAUGGCCGGUGAAGAAAGCAGCAAUGCACGAUGGGGUGGGCCCGCGGCCUAUCAGCUAGUCGGUGGGGUAACGGCCUACCGAGGCGAUGACGGGUAGCUGGUCUGAGAGGACGACCAGCCACACGGGGACUGAGACACGGCCCCGACUCCUACGGGAGGCAGCAGUGAGGAAUCUUCCGCAAUGGGCGAAAGCCUGACGGAGCGACGCCGCGUGUGGGAUGAAGUCCUUCGGGAUGUAAACCACUGUUGGAGGGGAAGACUUCGACGGUACCCUCCGAGAAAGCCCCGGCUAACUACGUGCCAGCAGCCGCGGUAAUACGUAGGGGGCUAGCGUUAUCCAGAAUUACUGGGCGUAAAGCGCGUGUAGGCGGCUGGUUAAGUGUGAUGUGAAAUCUUCGGGCUCA
rnacentral:rRNA from 1 species